CCCUUCCCCCCCCCCACCACCACCAGUUAAUCAACGCAGCGAAAUUAAAGCAAGCUGGACGCUAAAGAGCACAGAUGAAUUAAUUCCACAAACCUCAUUAGUGCCGGGUCUGACUCGGUGUCCAAAUCCUCUGCCACAGCCCGAAUAACAGGCACCCACACACCCAGCCAAGAAAUUCUUCCCAAGGCAGAGGGGGAACGCGCUGCUUCGCUGCUGCCACUUGAUUUCCAGACUUGGCCUUUUCUUUCUUUCUUUUCUUUUUUUUUUUUUUUUUCUUUUUCCUCUCCCUCCUCUCUAUUUUCUGUCCCUUUUCUCUUUCCGGUUAAACGUCAACUUCCAGUCCGGCGGGGAGGGCAGGCAGCCCGCGCUCCCACAUACCUCCCCGCUGAUUCCUGUACCCUCCAGUCAAAUAUCAACUUUGUUCUCGCUCCUCUCGCCGUCCCGGAGCUGCUGCCUCUCCCUCCCGGGGGGGUGGAGGUGGGGGGGGGUGGCUGACAGCGAGGAAAGGUGGGAGCCACCGAUAAAUGAGAUGGGAUCCCAGGAGCUGCCUUUCAGGAGACUUCUCCAAGCUCUUCCCCCAGAGGAGAAGAAUACCUGGUGAGCCUGAGGUUUUGCCACACAAACCAGCCGUUUUAAACAGCAGAGAACAGGGACUGGGGAGAGGAAGGAUCAGCAGAUUUGGCUGCAGAUGGCUCCACCAAAGCUCCCAGCCGCAUACGUGGUGGACCUCACGUUUAUAAAUCAGUGAUUUUCUGCUGUGGCAACACGGCCUAAAAACUUUUGCCUUAGGAGUGAAAACAAGUCAGUUUUACAGCUCACACUAAAUUAUUGCGCUCUCUGCUGAGACAACCAGCCCGAGUGCCAAUUACUGAUAAUUACAAGGGGGUUUAGGGUUAAUUCUUUUCUUCUUUUUUAAUGCCACGCCAGCUUGUACAGAACCUUUCUUCUUUCUGUCCUGCCACCGCAGUGUGCCCAGAGACAGCUCUAGGGCUUUUUUCUAGGUCUCUGCUGAGCAGUUUCAGCCAAGACCCUGCUGCUGGAGCACAUUCAUUGCCUCUUUGAAUUCUGUAACAACACACGCUGCUAAAAAGAAAAUAAAUACUUGAUCCCAGAGCUGCA
rnacentral:lncRNA from 1 species